rnacentral:rRNA from 1 species
UACAGAGGGUGCGAGCGUUAAUCGGAAUUACUGGGCGUAAAGCGCGCGUAGGCGGCUUGUUAAGUCAAAUGUGAAAUCCCCGAGCUUAACUUGGGCAUUGCAUUCGAUACUGGCAAGCUAGAGUAUGGGAGAGGAAGGUAGAAUUCCAGGUGUAGCGGUGAAAUGCGUAGAGAUCUGGAGGAAUACCGAUGGCGAAGGCAGCCUUCUGGCCUAAUACUGACGCUGAGGUGCGAAAGCCAGGGGAGCAAACGGG